AUUGAACGCUGGCGGCAUGCUUUACACAUGCAGUCGAACGGUAACAGGGAGCUUGCUCCGCUGACGAGUGGCGAACGGGUGAGUAAUGCGUCGGAACGUGCCGAGUAGUGGGGGAUAACGCAUCGAAAGGUGUGCUAAUACCGCAUACGUACUGAGGUAGAAAGUGGGGGACCUUCGGGCCUCACGCUACUCGAGCGGCCGACGUCUGAUUAGCUAGUUGGUGAGGUAAAGGCUCACCAAGGCGACGAUCAGUAGCGGGUCUGAGAGGAUGAUCCGCCACACUGGGACUGAGACACGGCCCAGACUCCUACGGGAGGCAGCAGUGGGGAAUUUUGGACAAUGGGCGCAAGCCUGAUCCAGCCAUGCCGCGUGUCUGAAGAAGGCCUUCGGGUUGUAAAGGACUUUUGUCCGGGAGCAAAUGCUGGUGGCUAACAUCCACCGGAGCUGAGAGUACCGGAAGAAUAAGCACCGGCUAACUACGUGCCAGCCGCCGCCGUAAUAC
rnacentral:rRNA from 1 species